CUGGGUGUAGCUCAGUGGUGGAGUGUUUAUCUCACAUAUACAAGGCCCUGGGUUUGACCCCCACCACACACA
rnacentral:tRNA from 1 species